rnacentral:tRNA from 1 species
GCCUCGUUAGCUCAGUCGGUACCUUCUCUACGUAGGUGGAGAUUGCGGUAGAGAGCGUUGCAUUGGUAAUGCAGAGGUCCCGAGUUCAAAUCUCGGACGGGGCU